GACCCCGUAGCUCAAUUGGAAGAGCAACGGACUUCUAAUCCGUAGGUUGCAGGUUCGAUUCCUGCCGGGGUCGCCA
rnacentral:tRNA from 1 species